GACCGUGUAGCUCAGUUGGAAGAGCAUUGGGCUAGUAUUCCAAAGGUCGUAGGUUCGAAUCCCACCAUGGCCA